rnacentral:rRNA from 1 species
ACCUUUUUGCACCCAAAAACUAGCCCAACUACUCACCCAGUCCCCCCCCCCCCAUAAAACAAACCAUUUGACACGGACCAGUAGAGGCGAUCAAACGUCAUAAUCUUGGCGCUAUAGACAGCAGUACCGCAAGGGAAACAUGAAAAAACAAUGAAAAACAAGUACAACACAGCAGAGACAAACACUCGUACCUCUUGCAUCACGAUCCAGCAAGAAAUAUACAAGCACGCCGCCACACAGCCUGUAUCCCCGAAUCCAAGUGAGCUACCAUCAGGUAGCCGUAAGAGCCAACCCGUCCCUGUAGCAAAAGGGUGGGACAAUCUGAUGGUAGCGGUGAAAAGCCUACCGAACUUGCUGAUAGCUGGUUGCCUGAUAAAUAAAUCUAAGUUUAACUUUAGGCCCCAACAGGAGACAGAACCCAACCUUUAAGCCUAAAAGCUAUUCAAUUGGGGUACAGCCCGAUUGAAACAGGAAACAACCUGAAGUAGAGAAACAGGAACCUCCCACCUUAACCGUAGACCUUAAAGCAGCCAACAAUAAACACUGCGUCACAGCAAACCAACCAAAAAUCCCAAAACCGCACCCAACUUCCUACUCCCCCACCAGGCCACUCUAUGAAAAACAUAGAAGAACUUAUGCUAGAACUAGUAACAAGAAACACUUCUCUCUGCACAACUGUAAAACAGCAAUGGAACAUCCACUGAAAAUUAACAGACACACAAUAACAACCCUCUUCCCACCAUAUUACACAAACUGUUAACCCAACACAGGAGUGCUCAAAAGAAAGAUUAAAAGCCUAAGAAGGAACUCAGCAAGCCCUAAUCCGACUGUUUACCAAAAACAUAGCCUUUAGCCCACACAAGUAUUAAAGGUAACGCCUGCCCAGUGACAUGUAAACGGCCGCGGUAUCCUAACCGUGCAAAGGUAGCGUAAUCACUUGUCUCCUAAAUAGAGACUAGUAUGAACGGCUAAACGAGGAUUAACCUGUCUCCUUAGACCAAUCAGUGAAACUGAUCUGCCAGUACAAAAGCUGACAUAACAACAUAAGACGAGAAGACCCUGUGGAGCUUUAAACUGACAGCCAAACCAAUAAACCCCCCCCCCGACCUCACCCAUGGCUAAAAGUCUUAAGUUGGGGCGACUUCGGAGCAGAACAAAACCUCCAAGCAACAGAACAUCCAUCUUUCCUGAGGCAAACACGCCAAAGCAAACAACAGACCCAGUACCACUGACCAUCGAACCAAGUUACCCCAGGGAUAACAGCGCUAUCUUCUUCAAGAGUCCCUAUCGACAAGAAGGUUUACGACCUCGAUGUUGGAUCAGGACACCCAAAUGGUGCAGCCGCUAUUAAAGGUUCGUUUGUUCAACGAUUAACAGUCCUACGUGAUCUGAGUUCAGACCGGAGCAAUCCAGGUCGGUUUCUAUCUAUGCCGCCGCUUUUUUCAGUACGAAAGGACCAAAAAAGCAGGACCCAUGCCACAAGCACGUCCUACUCACCCAGGGUUGAAACCCCCUCAAACCCAAACUGACAGCCCCAGCCCCCCGAAGAUCUACGCGAUCUA